UUUAAUCCAGACUUCAUCAGCUGGGAUUAUACCAUCAUGCCAAAUGGAAAAUAACUGAUGUCAAAUCAGUCACACAAGCUAGUGGAGCAAGUCUUAUCUCCUGUCCUCCUCUUUUCAAAGGAAAAUUAAAGGAAAUCGCCUCUGCUCUGAUCUCUAUAUUCCUUAGGUAUCAACUUUAUCUCAUCCAGUAACUGCUCCUUUGAACUGCUUCCACUUAACCUUUCUCUGAUCACUGAUAGCUCACUACUCCUUCUCUUUGUUGAUUGUGAUGAUUCCCCACUGCUCAGUGAGGAAUUUGUGAUCUUUGUUAGACUAAUUGGCUAAAAUACACUGGUAAAGUACUUUCAAAUAUAUAUAUUACCUUACCCUGCCUCCUGUUGAUAUUGUAACAGUACCACUCUCACUCUCAUGUAUCAUUUGUGAUACCGCUUUCCCUACUGACUUGUUCGACACAAUAGGUUGUUGAUGAGAGCAUUCCUUUCCAGCUGAUUCUAAUGGCACUAUGUUGUUUCAUCCUUCACAUGUAACUUUCAUGUCAUUAAAAACUCUCUCUAUCAGACUGGAUGGCUUGGUGAAUGUGGUUGAGAUUGACUCAUGACGACAAAAGCAACCUGGACAAGAGAAAGACGGUGAAGCUGCUAUUGAAGUACAACAGUUACAGCAGAGUAGUGUUUUACAGGGCAAGACUUCUAUGGGAUUAUUGGCUGCACUUGAGCAUAAUUUGCAGGUUACAUCUUCCUUAUACCUCUCGUCUGCCAGCUGCGAAAGCUUAAACUGUGGAAUGUCACCUGCAACAGAUUUAAUAUGUGUAAUCAGAAGUGUAGGUCGGCCGCUUGAGUAUUUCUGUUUUGGUCUCCCUCCCUUGCAAAGAAUGUCACACACUGUACAAGAUAUACUAUUGUGUGGGAACCAGUCAGCAGGAGUACGCUUCGUUUGAUUUCCUGAUGAAGUUAUACGUUUUGCAGUAACGUAGCAGCUGUGACAGAAAUGAACUGGUUGGAUAUCGGCAGAAUCACUCAUUGGAUCAACUCCCCAAAUAGACAUGAAUGAUAAAAUAUCUCUAUAGCAAUGUCGUACUCUUCCUAGUGACUUAGCACAUAGACGACAGUGAUUUUCUAGUCUCAUUUUCUCUUGUCUUUCUCCUCUCUAGCUCUCCAUUUGAAUCAUCGAUUUUUGAAAUUUUUAACAAGUCAUAUUUCACUUUUAAAAAAUGUUAACAACUUUGUAAUAGCAUUACACUAUGCACUAACAUUAGAUCUUCAUUUACAUACCUUUUAUGUUAUCAGAAAAACUUCUUUGUUAUGACUAGAGACCACUGAACAAGACCACCUGAACUA